rnacentral:rRNA from 1 species
GAUGAACGCUGGCGGCGUGCUUAACACAUGCAAGUCGAACGGAAAGGCCCAAGCUUGCUUGGGUACUCGAGUGGCGAACGGGUGAGUAACACGUGGGUGAUCUGCCCUGCACUUCGGGAUAAGCCUGGGAAACUGGGUCUAAUACCGGAUAGGACGAUGGUUUGGAUGCCAUUGUGGAAAGUUUUUUCGGUGUGGGAUGAGCUCGCGGCCUAUCAGCUUGUUGGUGGGGUAAUGGUCUACCAAGGCGUCGAUGGGUAGUCGGCCUUAGAGGGUGUACGGACACAUUGAGGCUAAGCUACGGAGCAGACCCCCACAGGAGGCAGCUGUGGGGUAUAUUGCUCAAUAGGCGCAAUACUGAAGCCGCGACGCCUCGUGAGCGGUGUCGCACUUCGGGUUGUACACCCCCUUCGCUAGGGACGAUGCAGUUUUGUGACGGUACAUGGACAAGAAGCAACGGCGAAAUUCGUG